rnacentral:rRNA from 1 species
ACUACGGCCGCUAGGCUAAAACUCCACGUAAUUGACGUGGACCCGCACAAGCGGUGGAGCAUGUGGUUUAAUUCGAUGCAACGCGAAGAACCUUACCUGGUCUUGACAUCCUUCGAACUUUCUAGAGAUAGAUUGGUGCCUUCGGGAACGCAGUGACAGGUGCUGCACGGCUGUCGUCUGCUCGUGUUGUGAAAUGUUGGGUUAAGUCCCGCAACGAGCGCAACCCCUAUUGAUAGUUACC